rnacentral:lncRNA from 1 species
CGCACGCCACCGCACCCCAUCUCUCGAAAUCUGCAGACAUCUUGAUUUUUCCCACGCUGUCUGUCAGGUCUCCGCCGCCACUCGACGCCAGGGCGCCGGGUGAGUCCACAGCAGGGCGCAUGGUCGGCUCCACUCUCACCAUCGGGGGAAACUGAGGCCCCGGGGAAGGCGGCCAGAGAGGUCAGGCCCUGUCCUUGGUGCAGUGUCUCGUCCUCUUUGCCGGAGUGAGCCCCCCAGGAUUCGCGUGUCCUCGGGAAAGACACUGGCAGGCCUUGUGGGCUGUGCUGCACCUCGGACGGCUUCGCACCAGCCAGCGCCCUCUCUCUCCUGCAGCACUCUGAUCUGCACCCCCUGAGGGGCUUCCACUGUCCGCGGGGUGAGAAUGCCCCUGGGAGUGUCACAUGACUGCCGCCCCAUGUGUGUGAGAGGCGUCCUCUGGGAGAGCAUGGAUCCUGAGGUCCCAGGAUUGUCAGCUGACCUCUGUCCUGUGUGCCCAGUGGCCCCAGGUGACGUGUCUUCAAGAAGAGGCUGAGCUGCGGUGCUUGUAAGGGUCUCAUUCUGUCACCCAGGCUGGAGUGCAGUGGUGCAAUGAUGGCUCACUGCAGCCUCGACCUGGGCUCAAGUGAUCCUCCACCUCAGCUUCCUGAGUAGCUGGGACCACAGAGUCAUGUGCUGUUCCUGGGGCUUGGAUGAUGUAGGGGAAGCAAGGUGAAAGUGGUAUCCCGUGGUUCCACGUUCUGUCCUGCUGUGGGGCUGUCCCUCACAUGCUUUCAGUGGCUGUUGCAGAGGAAGAGCCUCCGGAAAUCUGCGUGGGUAAAGUGAGCUCCCCGGGGGAACCGUCCUCCUCCCUUGAGCGCUGGUGUGUCCAUAGUGUGCUGUGAUCUGGAUUAGCAGUGAGUUUUUCUUUCAGGGUGUGUGUGUAUGAUGUUAGGACCAUAUGCUCCUGACCUUUUCCAACCCAAAAGCGUUUCCAUUUUUUUAAUGCUGGAAGUGUCUUAACUCCUUUUGGGGUCUUAGAAGGACACACGGUGGCCGUGGCUGGGCCUCUGCUCAGCUGGGCUGCUCUCCCUGCCUCAGGCCCUUGACACCAGCCUCCCUCCCUUGCUGGCUCUCUUUCUGUCCUUCCCUGCUCUUGUAUCCAAAAGUGAUCAUGGGUUGCCUGUGUCCCGAUCAUUAACAGUGCAGGGGUAGGAGUGCUGAAAGACAUCUUCCCUGCGUUGGUCCAGCCUUCCCUUUCAAACCCUGGAGCUUUCCCACGCUGCAGCCUUUUUCCAACUAGGCUUUCAGAGCUUGGGCCUUUGUGGGCCCAUGUGAUGUGGUGACUAGACCCACCCCCUGACUUCUGAGGGUUCAUUUUGUCUUUUCAUGUUAGGGAUCCUCCUGCCAGAAACCAGUCUGCAUUUCUCUCUGGGCCCCACGCUGGAAUGAAUUCAGAUAGCAGUGAAGGGCACACGUGAGAACUGCGAAUCACGGGCUUUGCUUCAUGAAAUGUGAAAUCCACAUUGUUUCCACAGGCACCAUCAGUAAUGUCGAACAAAUGGAGAAAGUUGCAGGUGGGGCUAGGAAAGCUGUAUUCCUGUGGAUUACUCUAGCUGGUCAUUUGCCCCGAUUGUGAACUGCUUGAAAGAAAAACGAAACUUCUAAGAUGUUUGUCCUUUCAUGUCCUUUCUGUUGGGAUUUUUUAUUUGGUGUGCGUGAAUGAGGAGCUUCGCCCUGCUUGAAUGGGACCCCUCUCAGUGGUGUCAGCUUGGGGAGGAGGAGAUGGCCCUGGAGACUAAAUACUUGUAUGCUUUCUUACCCUCUUAGGUCUCAGCCUUAGAUCCAAGGACAGUCCAAGGAAGUCCUAAGACCAUGGAGUUGGUGAUCUGGGAUCUGGGUUUGC